AAGAAAAUCGACAAGAUAUAAAAGUAGUUAACUAGAGGAAUGAAACUACAAAAUCAAAGGUCUCACAGUAAGUUAUCUUUACAAUGUACGCAAAAAGAUAAUUGACAUUAGAUCUAUUGCUCUUCCCGUCAAAGGCACCAUCUUUCUAGUGCCUACUCAUUUGUUAUUCAAUAAAACUAUUGCACUUUGGCUUUUCUUUUAUUAGAAAGGUUCUAUUGCAACUUUCCUAUGUUUCAGGAGUAGGUAGGUAAAAAAGGUUAACCUGGGUCUCAAAAAAGAUACCCAUUUAUAGCAAAGAGGUACCUUAGGCUAUCGCUUGACAUACUCAUUUUAAUUUAAAACUCUUCUAAUGUCACUUGUUCUGACAACCUCAAAAUUAUUUUCUACAAAACAAAAACUCUAACUCUACCAAGGAAGUUUUCAAAGCUGGAAAACGCCAAGUAUGAAGUUUAACUUCUAAAGAGCAAGAUAAGAAGAUCAUCGAGAUUUACACUGCCGGUUAUGGGGAAAGAAACCCCUUUGUCACUAGACAGGUCACACACGCUGUCCCUCAGGCGAAAGCGCCGGCACAGUUUUGCCCAGGCAAGCCCCAAGAAGUUCCGGAAAGCCGCCAUAGAAUGCAACCCUGCCAUUCUCGCCCGACAGUAAUCUCCUGCCCUGGCCCGAAAGCCGGGACAAUUCGUCAUAAAUACACUAGGCAGAGACAAAGGCAAGGCGGAGGAGACAGUACACGCCACUUUCAAACGAAGCCCACCCACCUUCAAGAGUAGGAGACUUCCCGGCACAGGACACUCACCAGUUGCCCAAGACUGCGACUACAAGUCCCAGGAGGCCGCGCGACGGACAAAGCAGCGUCCUUCCCAGAAUGCCGCUCAGCAGCGUUCCUAUCCCGCCCUCUCCUGUCUCCACUCCGCCUACUUUUUUACCCGUCGUCCCCCGCGUGGACUGGAGGUUGGCACCGAGGGGGCCGAGUUCAGGUGGCGGCGCCGGGUGCAGCACAGGGGUCACGGCGACGGCGGCUGACGGCUGGAAGGGCAGGCUUCCUUCGUCGCUCGUCCUCCUUCCCUAGUCCGCUCGGUGUCAGGCGCGGAGGCGGCGGCGGCGGCAGCGGCAGCAGCGCGGCGGGCGGACCUCGCCCCUCCUCCCGAUCUCCCCUGCGCAGCAGUGGGCGCUCUUGGCUUUGCCAUCCGCCGACCCUUCAGCCCCGGGACUGGGCGCCUCCUCCGGCGCAGCUCGCGGAGCGGGGGCCGGUCUCCUGCUCGCCUGUCGCGCCUCCAUGUCGGAUAACCAG
rnacentral:lncRNA from 1 species